rnacentral:tRNA from 1 species
GGGCCCUUAGCUCAGUUGGUUAGAGCAGUGGACUCAUAAUCCAUUGGUCGAAGGUUCGAGUCCUUCAGGGCCCACCA